UGGGGAAUAUUGCACAAUGGGGGAAACCCUGAUGCAGCAACGCCGCGUGAAGGAAGACGGUCUUCGGAUUGUAAACUCUUGUUCUUGGUGAAGAAAAAUGACGGUAGCCAAGGAGGAAGCCACGGCUAACUACGUGCCAGCAGCCGCGGUAAUACGUAGGUGGCAAGCGUUGUCCGGAAUUACUGGGUGUAAAGGGAGCGCAGGCGGGAAAUCAAGUUGGAUGUGAAAUGUCGGGGCUUAACCCCGGAACUGCAUCCAAAAACUGAUAUUCUUGAGUGAAGUAGAGGUAGGCGGAAUUCCGAGUGUAGCGGUGAAAUGCUUAGAUAUCACGAAGAACUCCGAUUGCGAAGGCAGCUUACCGUAGCGUUACUGACGCUGAAGCUCGAAAGUGCGGGU
rnacentral:rRNA from 1 species